rnacentral:rRNA from 1 species
GACCGCCUGGGGAGUACGGCCGCAAGGUUAAAACUCAAAUGAAUUGACGGGGGCCCGCACAAGCGGUGGAGCAUGUGGUUUAAUUCGAUGCAACGCGAAGAACCUUACCUGGUCUUGACAUACACAGAAUCUUGUAGAGAUACGAGAGUGCCUUCGGGAAUUGUGAUACAGGUGCUGCAUGGCUGUCGUCAGCUCGUGUCGUGAGAUGUUGGGUUAAGUCCCGCAACGAGCGCAACCCUUGUCCUUAGUUACCAGCACUUCGGGUGGGAACUCUAAGGAUACUGCCAGUGACAAACUGGAGGAAGGCGGGGACGACGUCAAGUCAUCAUGGCCCUUACGACCAGGGCUACACACGUGCUACAAUGGUAGGUACAGAGGGCAGCUACACAGCGAUGUGAUGCGAAUCUCAAAAAGCCUAUCGUAGUCCAGAUUGGAGUCUGCAACUCGACUCCAUGAAGUAGGAAUCGCUAGUAAUCGCGGAUCAGAAUGCCGCGGUGAAUACGUUCCCGGGCCUUGUACA